rnacentral:rRNA from 1 species
GACGAACGCUGGCGGCGUGCCUAAUACAUGCAAGUAGAACGCACAGUUUAUACCGUAGCUUGCUACACCAUAGACUGUGAGUUGCGAACGGGUGAGUAACGCGUAGGUAACCUGCCUGGUAGCGGGGGAUAACUAUUGGAAACGAUAGCUAAUACCGCAUAAUAUUGAUUAUUGCAUGAUAAUUAAUUGAAAGGUGCAAUUGCACCACUACCAGAUGGACCUGCGUUGUAUUAGCUAGUAGGUGAGGUAACGGCUCACCUAGGCGACGAUACAUAGCCGACCUGAGAGGGUGAUCGGCCACACUGGGACUGAGACACGGCCCAGACUCCUACAGGAGGCAGCAGUAGGGAAUCUUCGGCAAUGGGCGAAAGUCUGACCGAGCAACGCCGCGUGAGUGAAGAAGGUUUUCGGAUCGUAAAGCUCUGUUGUAAGAGAAGAACGGGUGUGAGAGUGGAAAGUUCACACUGUGACGGUAUCUUACCAGAAAGGGACGGCUAACUACGUG